UAUAGCGCUGGCCAGUCGCCUUUUGUGGAUCUAGGACAGAAAAUGUGAGGAGGAAGAAACCUCGGUGCACGAUAUUCUAGCCACUGCCGUGCAUGUUACUCAUUUCGUGGUAAAACUGCAGGCUGUUUAAAGGACGAUUUCGUACCAAGUACGUGGCUACCAUCCUGAAUAAGAACUGUAUGCAUACAUGUGGGUGAGUAUUUGUAAGGAGAUUUCAUGAAGUGAGAGUCUUAUCGGUAUCCAUAGCAUAGAGGAGUGCUUGCAGACAA